rnacentral:snRNA from 1 species
GGAACCACUUACUGUCCUUUCUUUUCACUAAGUUCUUAUCACCGAAUUUGGAGCCAUACAGAGAUGAUUAGCUUUGGCCUGUGCUCAAGGAAUACGUGCAAAAUUGUGAAGCAUUCUGUAUUUGU